rnacentral:RNase_MRP_RNA from 1 species
GAGUUCCUUUAAGACUUGCUUUCUGGUUACAAACGGAGAUGAACCUAUCUCAUUAUCACCGGAGGGAAAGUCCCCAGACCGAGCGUAGAGAUUACUGAUUUGAGGAAUCGUUCCUAACCUAUCAGCUGUCUCCCGUUGAUGCAAUGACGCCAUUUGGCGGAGCUGGGAGUUGUUGGUAGGUAUUUUCGUCAAAGUCCAAGAUCGAUGCAAGUAGCACUUUAGUGUUAACUGAAUGGGGAAUACUCUGAAGGAAUU